UAGGGAAUCUUCGGCAAUGGGGGCAACCCUGACCGAGCAACGCCGCGUGAGUGAAGAAGGUUUUCGGAUCGUAAAGCUCUGUUGUAAGAGAAGAACGUGUGUGAGAGUGGAAAGUUCACACAGUGACGGUAACUUACCAGAAAGGGACGGCUAACUACGUGCCAGCAGCCGCGGUAAUACGUAGGUCCCGAGCGUUGUCCGGAUUUAUUGGGCGUAAAGCGAGCGCAGGCGGUUUAAUAAGUCUGAAGUUAAAGGCAGUGGCUUAACCAUUGUUCGCUUUGGAAACUGUAAAACUUGAGUGCAGAAGGGGAGAGUGGAAUUCCAUGUGUAGCGGUGAAAUGCGUAGAUAUAAGGUGGAAAACCGGUGGCGAAAGCGGCUCUCUGGUCUGUAACUGACGCUGAGGCUCGAAAGCGUGGGGAGCAAACAGG
rnacentral:rRNA from 1 species